AGGAUGCAGAGGAGAAUGGCAAGAAGGGAGAAGAUUCAAAGGAGGAUCCUGAUGAAGAGGAAGAGAAAUAAGCCAGACGUGAUCGACUGACCGAUCUCCUGUAUUUGUCGAGUGUUCUUCUUGUUGGUUGCUGGGGCUGUUCUGGCCUGUACAAUGGUGGCACCACAACAACCGUUUUGGUGGUGGUCUGGGCAGGUGCUAGACUGUUUGUUAGCCAUUUGAUGUGAUGGCCCUGCACUCCUACCUGGUUGGUGUGCUUGACUCUUGGUGUUCUUGACCUGUAGUCUCUUAGUUGCCGGUCAUGUACAAUAGCUGCUUGGUUAUAUGACUCUGUUCCUUUCUUAGGUAGCUAGCCCUGACUGUAAUUUGCAGCAUGCAUACUUGUCCGUGUUCUGUUCCUUGCAUUUUAUCCAUGUAAAACUGUUGUAUU
rnacentral:lncRNA from 1 species